GACAGAGGUGCCAAGCGUUAGGCGGAAUCACUGGGCUUAAAGCGCGUGUAGGUGGCGGCCUAAGUACCUUGUGAAAUCCUGGAGCUCAACUCCAGAACUGCCUUUGAUACUGAAGAUCUUGAGUUCGGGAGAGGUGAGUGGAACUGCGAGUGUAGAGGUGAAAUUCGUAGAUAUUCGCAAGAACACCAGUGGCGAAGGCGGCUCACUGGCCCGAUACUGACGCUGAGGCACGAAAGCGUGGGGAGCAAACAGG
rnacentral:rRNA from 1 species